UAGCUAUGCUGAAGUAUAUUCUGGAUUGUUUAAGAUUAAAACAAAAAAUUACAAGAACCGUACAGAACUGAAAACCGUGACCCUAAAA